AUGGGCAACUUUUCUCCAUACUGCACCCUGGUGGCUAGGUUUGUGGAGUCUGGGAAGUCCAGGGUUGAGGGUCCCACAUCUGGUGAAGGCCUCCUCAGCUGCAUGGUCCCUUGGCAGAAGGUGGACGGCAAGAGAGAUUAAGGCCGAGUGCGAGAGAGGGUUGAACACACUUCUAUGGAUUGAACCCACUCUUCUAAAAAAAUAAAUAAAUAAAUACUUGUCUACUUCAUGUACAACCAGAGAAGUGAAAAAUUCUCCAUUCGUGUAAUGAAUCGAAGAGCUUUCUACUGUCAUGUAUAACUGAUUCAAACUUAUUAAAAAAACACACAUUUGUGUAAGAUAAUGACAUUGAUACAUACAUAAGGACAGAGCCUUCAUGAUCCUUUAAGCCCCUCUUAAAGUUCCUCCUCCCAACAAUGCCCUAUAGGGCACUGUUUUCAGCAUAUGAACUUUGGGGACAUAUUCAAACUACACCAUUAAGUGAAUGUUUUCUAUGAAGUUACCUCCAUGUUUUAAUUGAUUGUACUUCAUAGAGGAAAAUAUUUACAUAACAGUUUCUUUCAGUUCAAAUGAAGAAAGAAUUAUUAUCUAAAUAGCAAAUCUAUUUUUUAAAAUAUAACAGAUUAAUAUGAUGAUAUGCCUAACAAAAACAAAAUUUGGAAGAAAAUUUUUAUGAAACAUUUUAGAAAGUUGCUCUAUAACUUAAGCAAUACACUGGAAGUUCUACUUUUUCAAAAUGGUAGUAUAGUUGCCUAGUUUACAUUGCAAUUUUAUUUGCUCUUUGUUAAUGUAAUAUUGUAUAAUCGAGAGCUUAAUUCUUAUAAACUGUUAUAAAAGUAUGUUUAAUGAGCAAAAGCUUGAAUGGCUGAAUGUCAUAUAUGUGAAAUGAAUAUAUUAUACCUAUUUUUGUCAUGAAAAUAAAUAUGUGAAGCAAGAUG
rnacentral:lncRNA from 1 species